ensembl:lncRNA
AUGAAGUUUGCUGCUUUAGUCUGCUUGGUUGUUUUCUUCGCUGCAGAUGGAGAGUCCAUGCCAGUCGAGCAGGACAGCCAAAGAGAGGACCUGCUUACCCAGUGUUUAGUUCACAUCCUUUCAAAGGCACUGUAUAAGACCGAUGAUACCCCACUGCAUCCAGAAUGCAAAAACAUCCUUACACCAGGAUCAGGUCAUUCAUCAGUUGUGAAAAAGGAGAAAGACACCCUAGAACCAUUUCAAGAGGAACUUAAAAAGCCAAGUGGAGAGUCUAAAGUCGAGGAGGAACUCAUUGAGGAUCUUCUCAAAGCUAACAAACGGGAGGAGCUGGAUGACGAACGUAGCCAGGAAGAGUUCCCAAGUUUUUUUAAAAGAAGAAUCAAAGACAGGCGUGAGGAAAUGGAUGACGAACGUAGCCAGGAAGAGUUUCCAAGUUUUAUGAAACGAAGAAUCCACGAAAAACGUGAUGAACUGGAUGAUGAACGGAGCCAGGAAGAAUUCCCAAGUUUCUAUAAAAGAGGCAACAAGCAUAAAAGGGAAGAUCCCGACGAUGAGAGAAGCCAAGAGGAAUUUCCACAGAAAAGACAUGUUUCUGUCCUUUACAAACGUGAUAAUCCCGAUGAGGAGCGCAGCCAGGAGGAAUUCCCUCUAUAUGAAUAUAAAAGGAGUCGUCUUCUGACCAGCAGAGAAAAACGUGAAGAGCCUGACUAUGACAGAAGCCAAGAAUUUUUCCCAAGUUACACCCACAAAAGAAACUAUGGGGAAGGAGAAGAAGAGGAUGAGGAGAGUAAGGAAAGAGAGAAGCGGAUCUGGAAGCCAUCACAUAGAUACCACCACAAGAAAAAGCACCACAAACGCAGUGAGAAUGAGGAUUUUGAAGAACCAGAUUAUGACAGAAGUCAAGAAGACUUCCCAAGCUACAGCCAAAAAAGGAGCCAUGGGGAUGGCAGGCACUACAAACCAAAUGAAGACCUGCUGAACAGGCAUAUUAAAGAGGACUUAAACUCUCGGGAAGAGAGGUCUGAAGAAUCAGAAGAGGUAGACGAGGAUACCGCAAAGCGAUACUGGAAACCCACCCAUAGAUACAACCAUAAGAAGCACCACAAACGGGACUCAUAUGAAGAGGAUUAUGAGGAAAGACCCCUGGAAAAAAGGUAUGAGGACUCAGAGGAAAGUGAGGAAUUGGAUAAAAGGAUCUGGAAGCCUACACACAGAUAUCACCAUAAGAAGCUUCAUCACAAGCGUGGCGACUCCACAGAGCUCAAGGAUGAAGAUGAACCCAUCUCAGAGAAGACUCACAGUCUCCAUGACUCAACAGGCAAUGCCCUCAAGCACCAUUCACCUGAAGAGGAAGAAGAAGAGACUGUUCAUGAGCUUAAUGAAAAGAGGCGUCCCUUAACCAGCCAAGAGGAGGAAGAUGAGCUAAAGAAAGGACACCAGAGUUCGGCAGAGAAGCAGGACAGGGAGGCUGCGUUGAGGUACCUAACAAAAAAGAAAAACGAGUUACAGGAACAUCUGCUUAACAAAGGUGACGUCUAUGAGAAGCGUUCCCCAUGGAUUUACAGAGGAUACUACCAUCCAGCCUGGUACAAGAGAGGCCAUAAGGUGGAUGAAAGUACUGAUCAGCACCCCUACCAUAAACUAGAGGACUUUGCUGAAACUCUCCGGUACAAAAGAGGCCUGCUUACUCAGGGGGGGUCACUCGAGGAGGAAAAGGGUAUCCCCCAACAGAAGCUUCUCACACCAGAGGAGUUAAAAGAACUUGAGAAACUGGCCUCUGUGGAUCAGAUGAAAGAGACAACUUAA